UACGGAGGGUGCAAGCGUUGUCCGGAAUUACUGGGCGUAAAGGGCGCGUAGGCGGCUCGGUAAGUAGGGGGUGAAAUCCUGCGGCUUAACCGCAGGGCUGCCUUCUAAACUGUCGAGCUUGAGCACGGUAGAGGCAGAUGGAAUUCCCGGUGUAGCGGUGGAAUGCGUAGAGAUCGGGAAGAACAUCAGUGGCGAAGGCGGUCUGCUGGGCCGUUGCUGACGCUGAGGCGCGACAGCGUGGGGAGCAAACAGG
rnacentral:rRNA from 1 species